AUGUAAAUUUCUUGGGAUCCUGUGAAAAUGCAAAUUUUAAAUCAGUGGGUCUGCACGGAUCUUAGAGUCUGAAUUUCUAACCAGCUCUCAGAUGAUGCUGAA
rnacentral:miRNA from 1 species